AUUGAACGCUGGCGGCAGGCCUAACACAUGCAAGUCGAGCGGAUGAAGGGAGCUUGCUCCUGGAUUCAGCGGCGGACGGGUGAGUAAUGCCUAGGAAUCUGCCUGGUAGUGGGGGAUAACGUCCGGAAACGGGCGCUAAUACCGCAUACGUCCUGAGGGAGAAAGUGGGGGAUCGUCGGACCUCACGCUAUCAGAUGAGCCUAGGUCGGAUUAGCUAGUUGGUGGGGUAAAGGCCUACCAAGGCGACGAUCCGUAACUGGUCUGAGAGGAUGAUCAGUCACACUGGAACUGAGACACGGUCCAGACUCCUACGGGAGGCAGCAGUGGGGAAUAUUGGACAAUGGGCGCAAGCCUGAUCCAGCCAUGCCGCGUGUGUGAAGAAGGUCUUCGGAUUGUAAAGCACUUUAAGUUGGGAGGAAGGGCAGUAAGUUAAUACCUUGCUGUUUUGACGUUACCAACAGAAUAAGCACCGGCUAACUUCGUG
rnacentral:rRNA from 1 species